AUGAUUUGGCAUAAUCCAACCAACCAACCAACAAAAAGCAUAAAGAAGAUUGAAAUGCUUGAAGCAUCACUAACCAAGAAGGAACUAGUUUUCACUGAAGUUGGUGUGGUCGAUGAGGAUCAGUUCAUACAGAUCCUAGAUAGUGUGGAAAGUACUUGGAAUUUUUCACUAAGAACAAUUAGAAAGCUUUGGUGGUUAAGACUUGAAGUGGGAAGUGAGAAGCGAGAAGGAAGAGGUAUGACUCUAACAUUGUCCAGGUGUGAAAAUGUGAAGGGCUCCACUGGAACAGUAGUAGCAGGCAUAACUUGUGUUGGAUUGAAUGGGUCAAGAAACUUCGUGAAGGUGCCUAUCUUAGGAGACUUAGGAGAAGAGAGAACUUGUACUCUAGCAAGAGUUACAUAUACAGGAAAGCAGGGCAAGACCAAAGAGAGGCAGAAUUGGAAGGACGAGCUGCUCAAAGCCAUCUGGCCUGCCUUCGCAGCACUUGAUCACGACCACAGCGGCGAAGCCUCCAAGUCCCAGCUCAAGAUCCUUUCCCAUAACCUGUGCACGGUGCUGAAGGUUCCUCAUGAGCCAGUCGCCCUUGAAGAACACUUCAGGGAUGAUGAUGAUGAGGGGCCAGUGUCCAACCAGGGCUACAUGCCUUAUUAGUAACGAGUUCAUUUUGGAAAAGGUCCAAGACAACUUUGACAAGAUUGAAUUCCAUAGGAUGUGUUGGACCCUCUGUGUCAAACAAAACCUCACAAAGAAUCCUCUGCUCAUUACAGAAGAAGAUGCAUUUAAAGUAUGGGUUAUUUUCAGCUUUUUAUCUGAGGACAAGUAUCCAUUAAUUAUUGUGACAGAAGAGAUCGAAUACCUGCUUAAGAAGCUUACAGAAGCUAUGGAAGGAGGUUGGCAGCAAGAACAAUUUGAACAUUAUAAAGUCAACUUUGAUGACAGUAAAGAUGGCCUUUCUGGGUGGGAACUUAUUGAGCUUAUUGGAAAUGGACAGUUUAGCAAAGGCAUGGAUCGGCAGACUGUGUCUAUGGCAAUUAAUGAAGUCUUUAAUGAACUUAUAUUAGAUGCAUUAAAACAGGGUUACAUGAUGACAAAAGGCCACAGAUGGAAAAACUGGACUGAACGAUGGUUUGUGCUAAAACCCAACAUAAUUUCUUACUAUGUGAGUGAGGAUCUGAAUGAUAAGAAAGGAGACAUUCUCUUGGAUGAAAAUUGCUGUGUAGAGUCCUUGCCUGACAAAAAUGGAAAGAAAUGCCUUUUUCUCAUAAAAUGUUUUGAUAAGACUUUUGAAAUCAGUGCUUCAGAUAAGAAGAAGAAACAGGAGUGGAUUCAAGCCAUUCAUUCUACUAUUCAUCUGUUGAAGCUGGGCAGCCCUCCACCACACAAAGAAGCUUGACGGCAUCGGAAAGAACUCCGGAAGAUGCAACUGGCUGAACAAGAGGAACUGGAGCGGCAAAUGAAGGAGCUCCAGACCGCCAACAAAAGCAAGCAGCUGGAGUUGGAGGCCAUGCGGAAGAAACUGGAGGAGGCAGCAUCUCGUGCAGCAGAAGAGGAAAAGAAACGCCUUCAGACUCAAGUGGAACUUCAGGCCAGGUUCAGCACAGAGCUGGAAAGAGAGAAGCUUAUCAGACAGCAGAUGGAAGAACAGGUGGCCCAAAAGUCCUCUGAACUGGAACAGUAUUUACAGCGAGUACGGGAGCUGGAAGACAUGUACCUAAGGCUCUUGCAAGAGGCUCUUGAGGAUGAGAGACAGGCCCGGCAAGAUGAGGAGACGGUGUGGAAGCUUCGGGCCAGGUUGUUGGAGGAAGAGUCUUCCAAGAGGGCUGAACUAGAAAAGUGGCACUUGGAGCAGCAGGCCAUUCAGAUGACUGAGGCAGAGAAGCAGGAGUUGGAGAAUCAGUGUGUCCUGAAGGAGCAGGCUCUGUAGGAGGCCAUGGAGCAGCUGGGGCAGCUGGAGUUGGAAUGGAAACAAAGCACCUGAGCAGUACGAGGAAGUUAAAAAGAAGCUGGAGAUGGCAACUAAUAAGACAAAGAGCUGGAAGGACAAAGUGGCCCAUCCUGAAGGAUUAAUUUGACUGAUAGAACCAGGUUCAAAGAACCCUCACCUGAUCACUAACUGGGGACCUGCAGCUUUCACUGAGGUGGAACUUGAAGAGAGAGAGAAGAACUGGAAGGAGAAGAAGACCACGGAAUGA